CGACGAGUCGAGUUGUUUGGGAAUGCAGCUCAAAAUGGGUGGUAANUUUCAUCUAAAGCUAAAUACUGGCUGGAGACCGAUAGCGCACAAGUAGAGUGAUCGAAAGAUGAAAAGCACUUUGGAAAGAGAGUCAAACAGUACGUGAAAUUGUUGAAAGGGAAGCGCUUGCAACCAGACCUGUCCGUAGGUGAUCAGCCGCCGUUCUCGGUGGUGCACUCGCCUACGAUCAGGCCAGCAUCGGUUCGGGCGGUCGGAUAAAGGCCUUGGGAAUGUAGCUCCUCUCAAGGAGUCUUAUAGCCCUCGGUGCAAUGCGGCCAACCCGGACCGAGGACCGCGCUUCGGCUAGGAUGCUGGCGUAAUGGUUGUAAGCGACCCGUCUUGAAACACGGACCAAGGAGUCUAACAUCUAUGCGAGUGUUUGGGUGUCAAACCCAUACGCGGAAUGAAAGUGAACGGAGGUGAGAACCCUUUAGGGCGCAUCAUCGACCGAUCCAGAUGUCUUCGGAUGGAUUUGAGUAUAAGCAUAGCUGUUGGGACCCGAAAGAUGGUGAACUAUGCCUGAAUAGGGUGAAGCCAGAGGAAACUCUGGUGGAGGCUCGCAGCGGU
rnacentral:rRNA from 1 species